UUAAACUAUAACUAGCAAGAAAUGAGAAACUGAUUACAUCUGCUUAUUUGGACAGUGAAUGGAACCACAUAUUCUGCCUGUUGGCAAACACCAAAUCUGUAUAGUUUAUUUUCUUCAAAGGGAAUCAUGAUUGCCAACAAUCACUCAGCACCAACAAUUUACUGAAUGUUUAUCUGCCUGCAUUCUUCUUGUGGCUGGAAAUGUAGCAGUGAACCAGACCGAGACCCUGAUCCGCUGGGUAUAUAGCUGGGGGAGUCAGACAUUCAUGAAAAUGACUUCUAGUGCCACAGAUAUUUCAAAAGAUGCAGUAAAGAGUUCUGUGGGUCUGAAUGAUAUGGUGUGCUAACCAAAUAUGUGAAGGUGGCGAAGGUCUCCUAGAAGAAUUGGUGCAAAACUUGAGUCUCAAAGGAUGAGCUGGGUGAGGAGUUGGGCACAGUAUUCUGGGCAGUGGGAACAUCAUGGACAGAAGCCUGAAUGCAGCGGAGAGACUGACUCACUUGUGGGCAUGAAGGAGAUCAGCAUGACUGGAUUGGAGCUCACUUCCUGGUGUUUUCACCUCAUUGCAUCCCUGGUUGGUUUCUGUUGCUUGCAAUGAAAGAACCCUUACAAAUGCAAUAAUGCAGAAGUAACAAUGAAGAUGACACUGAUUCACACAAGAUUUAAUUUGUUACAUGAGUAAAUAAACAAAGCAAAAUGAACAGAAUUUACUAUACUGCAUCCCUGCUGGGAGUAUGUUGAGCUAUCUGGCCUGGAAGGCCUUUGUGACCUGUUGAAAGAAUAUACAUGGAUUUACUUCAGGAGAAAAAUAAAGUGUUAUUUUAAAAA
rnacentral:lncRNA from 10 species